rnacentral:ribozyme from 14 species
CAGAAAUGAACAGAAAGAACAAAAAGCAACAACAACUAAUGUAAAUAUUUUUUAAUGAUUUGGUAGUGAUUUGACUUUAUUAUCUUAUAUGAAUUAUUACUGUAUCU